AUGAGGCCGGAAACAACAUAUAACAAAUCCGAUGCACUAGAUUACUUGCACAACUGCGAACCACCAAUAGUUCACUGUGACUUGAAGCCAAGCAACAUUCUUCUUGAUAGUGAUUUACUUGCUCGCAUUGGGGACUUCGGCCUUGCAAAGAUUCUUUUAGAUCCAGCAGCUGAGCAACAAAUUAAUUCAAAGAGCUCGGUUGGAAUAAGAGGAACAAUUGGAUAUCUCGCUCCAGAAUAUGGUGAAGGUGGUCAAGUUUCUACAUCUGGAGAUGUAUACAGCUUUGGAAGUGUCAUCCUCGAGUUGUUUACAGGCAUGGCACCGACGCAUAACAUGUUCAAAGAUGGGCUGACCUUACAGAAGUAUGCCAAGAAUGCAUUCCCAGACAUGUUAAUGAAGAUUGUUGAUCCAGCCCUACUGUCCUUUGAAGAAGCUUAUGUCAGAAGUUUGCAGGGUGGAAGCUACAAAAUGGAAGAUGUCUGCAACACCAUGUUCUCAAUCAUGGAAAUUGCAAUAUCAUGUUGCAAGCAAGCAUCAUCAGAGAGGAUGUGCAUGAGAGAUGCAGCAGCUUGGAUGCACAAGAUAAGAGAUAACCAUGUUGAAAGAAGGCAAAAUGAGCAAGUCAUUAUAACUGCAUAG
rnacentral:rRNA from 1 species